rnacentral:sRNA from 1 species
ACCGGCUAAAAUGGCGUCUACGCAAUUACGUCAGGCGUCAGAUCCGCGCACGACUAGAGGGCGGGAAAGAUUUGAGCUACGCCUGCGCAGAGCUGAGAAGCUGAUGUUUCCUCGACUUCCAACUGGAACCUUGAACCCCCACAUUUCUGGACCUUGAGCAUUCCUCAAGUAGGAAGAUGUAAUGCACCUUGACCUCUUUCUAAAUAAGACACUUCCCCAAAUAAGGGGAGUUGAGAGUGAACAGUCUUCACGUCUCCACCCACUUCCAGAUCCCAGAGGAGACAGACAUCGGAUGGCUGUUACCUCCUCCUAAAAUGUCUGCAUUUACCCAGAUAAUCUUCCAAUGGAAAUCCAUGGUUCAAGUGCCACCUCUUCAGGAAAGCCAUCUGACUUCAAUCAGAAUCGACCACGGAAAUUUGACACCUCCGGGCUUGGAAGCAGCUCUCUCCUCCUUCCCCCCUGCUUAUAAACCUCAGCCCUGAGGCUCCAGCUCACUCUACCCCAUCUC